CAGUCGCCGCGGUAAUACAGAGGAUGCAAGCGUUAUCCGGAAUGAUUGGGCGUAAAGCGUCUGUAGGUGGCUUUUCAAGUCCGCCGUCAAAUCCCAGGGCUCAACCCUGGACAGGCGGUGGAAACUACCAAGCUGGAGUAUGGUAGGGGCAGAGGGAAUUUCCGAUGGAGCGGUGAAAUGCAUUGAGAUCAGAAAGAACACCAACAGUGAAAGCACUCUGCUGGGCCGACACUGACACUAAGAGACGAAAGCUAGGGGAGCAAAUGGGAUUAGAUACCCCUGUAGUCCCUGUCUCUUAUAC
rnacentral:rRNA from 1 species